UACAUGGGGUGCAAACGUUGCUCGGAAUUAUUGGGCGUAAAGCGCACGUAGGCGGUUCGUUAAGUCGGAUGUGAAAGCCCUCGGCUCAACUGAGGAAGUGCACCCGAAACUGGCGAGCUUGAGUACGAAAGAGGAUCGCGGAAUUCCCGGUGUAGAGGUGAAAUUCGUAGAUAGUCGGGAGGAACACCGGUGGCGAAGGCGGCGAUCUGGGUCGAUACUGACGCGUGAGGCGGCGAAAGCG
rnacentral:rRNA from 1 species